rnacentral:lncRNA from 1 species
ACUCAGGCUUCAUUUAACCUUUAGCUAAUUAUCCAUUCAUGAGCGACAAAAAUAUUGAGUUAUGCGUACCAAAACAUUUACUUGUCUGUUCCAGUUGCUGACUUUUUCAAGAGUGGUUUUUUUGGCCUCUUGUACUAUCUCACGGUGGACAAACAUACUUUUUGGGAUAGAGAACUAGCUUCACCUUCACCGCUGACAUAUUUCAUAUACGAUUUGGUUAUUCUCCUGGCGUUCAUCCUGAUUUUCAUCGGAGGCAAAAAAUGCAGCUCCGCGCUGCUGGUGACCGGUCUCAUCUGUCUGAUUGUGGGAUUUGUAGCCCAAUUUCUGUCCCUGACCGUCCACAUUGCUGCGUGGAUCGCCAAAGGUCAACAGUUGCAGCAUGGAGCCGCCAACCAUCACCCGACGUUUUUCAUCAAAAGGACGACUGAGAUGCCGUUUCUUUUCUCAGAGGAACCGUAAGUGCCUCCCGGAGUCAAUAAGUCUAUGAAUAUGAUAAAGCACAAAGAGAACCACGAAGUGAAAUGCACUAGAAUACGGAAGUAAAAAAUGGGUAAAGACGAGAACUCUAAAAAGGCAGGAAGUUAAAAGCUGCAAAGGCCCAUUGUCGGCUGCAAGAAAUGAUGAAAACGAAUAAAAUAUGAAGUGGUUUGAGUGAUUAAGAGUGGUAGAUUAAUGACGACUGUGUUACGUCUCAUUUUAAUAAUUUGAGUGCUUUUUG